ACCAGCUGACGAGUCAGAGAUUGGACGAAACGCGCGUCCUGGAU
rnacentral:hammerhead_ribozyme from 1 species